rnacentral:misc_RNA from 1 species
CUUCCGAUACCUUCGCUUAUUCGAGUACAUAGCUGUCCCCCUUUUUUAUCUGGCAUCGCUGUCGUUUUUCUUUUUGGUUAUUGCUUUCUUUUCUGGCUUUUUUCUUGUGCGCGCAUGUGACUGGCGCCGCACGACACCAGCUUGCAUAUAGCACUGUAUUGCCAUACCGGAUCUCUUUCUGUGUUGUGACCGUUGUGCGCUGGAGCGGAAGCAAGAUGCCAAUCAAGUACAGCUGCGUUAAUGACGAGACGAAGCUUUUGGCUGAGCACCCGGCCGGCGAGCAGCCGAAGCUAGCGGAGACGAUGCAGAAGGUCAUUGCUACCGUGCCACCCAAGGAGUAUCGCCACAAAACGAUCGAGGACAAGGAUGGCGGUGUCAACUACAACUAUAUCAGCAACGGCGAGGGGCGCAUUGUGGCGUGCGUGACAACAAGUGACAUGCGCAUGCGCACCGUUUUCGCGUUUCUGGAGGCCGUCGAGCCACUGGUUCGCGGCAGUGUCGGUUCACAGGGCGCUGAGUUACGCAAUGGCAAGAAGCUGCUGCAGCAGAAGAUGGAGUUCUACAACAACCCUCAGAACGACAAGAUCACGGCGCUGAAUGAUGACAUUAAUCAGGUAGUGGAUGUCAUGAUAGACAACAUGGACAAGGUGUUAGCGCGUGGUGACCGUAUCGACACACUGCACGAGAAGUCUUCCACUCUGGCGGAUCAGGCGCAGCAGUUCCAGCAGCGGUCCACGGAGCUGAAGCGAAACCUCUGCAUGAAGAACCUGAAGCUUACCCUCAUGAUUGUCGGCGCCGUGGUCGUUGUUCUCAUCAUCAUUCUUAUGAUUGCAUGCAAGCCGAACUUCUCACGCUGCCGUUGAUUGUGAACAGCUGCAUCUCUCUGCAAACUGCCAGAGCUGCAGCUCCAUUGCAGCGCACCGGCAGUGUGAAAUGCGGCUGCGCCAUUGCAGCUCUCCGAGCGCCCUUGUGAAAUGGAAUAUGCGCUCGAGUCGCGCUGCAAGGGACCUUGGCUGCGGUGUGCAGUUCAAGCUUACCCGUUCAUUGUGCUUUGUGCUUACCCUGAUACAACACGAGGGGUGGAGGGGCUUGUGUGUAUUAUGGGAGGCUGAAUGGAUUCAGAGGAAGUGAGGAAGACGAGAAAGAGAGAAGAAAAAGGACAGACGCCGAGGUGAGGAAAGCAGAGAGGAACAGGCACAUAUAACGACGACGUAUUCCAGUGCUAUUGUCAACUCAAUGCUUUUUGCGGCGUGCUCUUCUUGGCGAAGGUAAAGAAGAAAUGCCGAAUGUGAGAUUUUUCAACUGGCGCUGUGUGUGCGUGUGUUUCUUUUCCUCUUCAGUGCCGUAUCGUUCUUUCUAUGCUUCGCGUGCUGUUGAAUGCUUUCUUAAUCCUUCGCCAACGGCGGCUCCUCUCUUCUCUCGGUCGCACUUGCACCUGAUGAACGCAGCCCUUUUGGCGUCUCUUCUGCCGCUGGUGUUGCUUUUUGAUUUUGCUCUCUUGCUCUCGUUUCGGUUGCUUUGUUUCGCCUUGCUUUUGUUUGCGUGGGUAGUUACUGUAUACUGUUCCGCCAAGCAGCUCAGGCGGUGCUGUGCGGGCACGCCUUUGGCUGCGUGGGAGUGAAGAGAGUGAUGACUGCGAGGCUAAGAUUGAUGUCUCGAGGUACUUCGUUCACUAUUGCGUUCACUCAGGAAAAAGAUGUGUAACUGAGGUUGGUUCGCUUUCAAAAGAAAAGAGCUGUUCUCAUAUCGCACAGUUCACUUGCUUUAUUCCAGUCUUCAUCGCUGUCUUUCCGUGAGAUUUUCAUCUUGUGAAUGAUUGCUCUGUGGUGUUUUUCUUCCUGUAUGUGGAGAGAGGUGAUUCGAUAGUUCUUCUGUGCGCUUGUGCGCUGGUUGUGCCCGCUGAGGUUCCUUUAUGAGUGUUGCUGUAGCGAACGAACGUGCCAGCUGUGCCCAUCAUGAGGUGUAUAUCUGUUUAGUCCGCGAAUCGG